UUGAGGACGUGACAAGUCUCUUACCUCUACCGGCGUUCUGCAACAUUCGCACACGGCUGCCUCAUCCUUAAACAGCAUGCCAGCAAAUGUGCAUCAAUGAAGCCAGCGCCCCAAGCCCCCCAAAAAAAGAAAGAGGAAGAAAAAAAAAAAAGAAGAAAAAAAAUCUCCGUGGCGCACUCGACCUGCUUGGUAGUGAUCUUAUGUGGAAUCACGAAGAGAACGAGACCCCCUUCCCGCCCAGACCAGGCUGCGUAUGCAUCACUGCAGAGCUUUGGCUAAAGCUUUUUAUCAGCCCCUCGCCCCCACCCACCCACCACCCACCCUCCAAGGCGCGAACUGGUUGGCCUGAGCGAGGACGCGCACGUCUUUUUACGCACCUGAUGUGGAGCAUGCAUGCCUGCAGCCAUGUGCGCAAAGCUGGCUAGUGUGUGAAAAGGGGCGGGAGGGGGCUUCACUCACCGGGAAAGUCCAUGGUGGUGUCUGCAUUGCUCUCACCAUCCGUGCGCCUUGGCCCGUUAAUUGGAAACGCGGCUCUUUUUGAGGAUCCACGCCACUUAUCCGGUCCGGUGGGUGGCAGGGUGCAACGCGGUUCUCCUUGCUUCUCCGCUGUGAGAAUGAACAGAAAAUGGUAACGACGGAUAGGUAAUGUCCCCUUCAAGAUUGAGGGAGUAAAGAGAGCAUGUCGUAGCUUGUGGGUCCCUCUAUGGGCCGCCAGAUGAAAAGCACAGGACUGCCAUUGGGGAACUGAAAGCUGGUGGCCCAAACUAAAUGUGGACGCUUGGAAGAUUGGCUGGAUUUGCUUUGUUUUGGUGUUGCUUGCAUAGAUAAACGAAUAAACGGUAUUCAUAUGUAAAUCAAUUAUUUCUUUCGGAAAAUUUGAGUGAAAUUGGAUCAUUUGAAUGCAAGAUGAUUCACGGUAAUGCCGGAGGUAUGUUAGGUUGUUUAAACCUGCCACAAUGCAAUGAGAGACGUGAAGCUGAUGGUGGAGGUCAUCCUUAGCCAUGUUGGGUUUAAUGGCCAUCCGUGUUCACAGUCACACAUAAUUAUGACUGGGUUUCAUCUAAUCCCAGAGACACAUUAUAGUCUCUUUAUCUUCCUCAAGGAUUGGGAAGUGCUCGCAAUAAUGCAAUUCAAAGUAAUACUACGAUGAUGGAAACGUGUAAGCAAAUACCGCACAUCCAUUCAUCCAUUUUCUACCGCUUAUUCCCUUUUGGGGUCGCGGGGGGCGCUGGCGCCUAUAUCAGCUACAAUCGGGCGGAAGGCGGGGUACACCCUGGACAAGUCGCCACCUCAUCGCAGGGCCAACACAGAUAGACAGACAACAUUCACACUCACAUUCACACAUUAGGGCCAAUUUAGUGUUGCCAAUCAACCUAUCCCCAGGUGCAUGUCUUUGGAAGUGGUACCGCACGUAUAUUUGAAAUUAAAUUUUGCUGCAGUGGUGUUCCAAGUUCACACACAAUACACAUUAAGUAAGUAUGGAGUACAGAAAUUGUCAAACAUUUACUCAGCCCAUGGCUUUGGCAAUAGUACCAAGGAGAAGCCAGAGCUUGAAAAUCUUUUUCCAGAACAAGAUCAAGAUCGAAAUGAAGUUUCUUUGGGACUACAGGUGUCGACAUGGGUUGUAUUCGUCUCAAGGAGAAGAUGCUCAGAUUCAUUAUCUUCCUGAGUUUCUACAGGGUUCUUCUAUGCAGCAUGCCAAUUGAUAUACUGUGGGUGGUUAAAUGUGGAAACUGUUCUAUAUUUAAACUACAAAAGAACUCGGAGAGCGCAGACUUAUAAGUGUGGAAGUCGGUAA